GAUGAACGCUGGCGGCGUGCUUAACACAUGCAAGUCGAACGGUGAAGGCGGAGCUUGCUCUGCUGGAUCAGUGGCGAACGGGUGAGUAACACGUGAGCAAUCUGCCCCUGACUCUGGGAUAAGCGCUGGAAACGGCGUCUAAUACUGGAUACGAGCUGCGAAGGCAUCUUCAGCAGCUGGAAAGAAUUUCGGUCAGGGAUGGGCUCGCGGCCUUUCAGCUUGUUGGUGAGGUAAUGGCUCACCAAGGCGUCGACGGGUAGCCGGCCUGAGAGGGUGACCGGCCACACUGGGACUGAGACACGGCCCAGACUCCUACGGGAGGCAGCAGUGGGGAAUAUUGCACAAUGGGCGAAAGCCUGAUGCAGCAACGCCGCGUGAGGGACGACGGCCUUCGGGUUGUAAACCUCUUUUAGCAGGGAAGAAGCGAAAGUGACGGUACCUGCAGAAAAAGCGCCGGCUAACUACGUG
rnacentral:rRNA from 1 species